rnacentral:rRNA from 1 species
GACGAACGCUGGCGGCGUGCUUAACACAUGCAAGUCGAACGAUGAAGCCGGAGCUUGCUCUGGUGAAUUAGUGGCGAACGGGUGAGUAACACGUGAGUAACCUGCCCUUGACUCUGGGAUAACUGCGGGAAACUGUAGCUAAUACCGGAUACGACCCUCGGAGGCAUCUCCUGGGGGUGGAAAGAAUUUCGGUCAAGGAUGGACUCGAGGCCUAUCAGCUAGUUGGUGAGGUAAAGGCGCACAAAGGCGACGACGGGUAGCCGGCCUGAGAGGGUGACCGGCCACACUGGGACUGAGACACGGCCCAGACUCCUACGGGAGGCAGCAGUGGGGAAUAUUGCACAAUGGGCGCAAGCCUGAUGCAGCAACGCCGCGUGAGGGAUGACGGCCUUCGGGUUGUAAACCUCUUUUAGCAGGGAAGAAGCGAAAGUGACGGUACCUGCAGAAAAAGCACCGGCUAACUACGUGCCAGCCGCCGCAGUAA